rnacentral:lncRNA from 1 species
UACCUUAAAUUAAUAUAUAUCAGUUUUUUAAAGUGAUUUCCUUGUCACACCCUCUUGGAGUUUUGUCAGCAAGUCUCUCAGUGCAGUCUGGGGGGAGGGGUAUUGGAGCUUUUGCUUCCCUGUGCUCUGGAAGCUUUGAUUGGAUUAAAGUCCAGUAGUCUGUAAGGGAGGGGUAUUGGAGCUUGAGCUUCCCUGACCUCUGAAAACUGUUUAUGGGAUUAAGUCCUGCUGGGUUGGGCUGGAUGUGCCCUAAGACCAAAACCUCCUGGAAGGGAGAAGCAAUAUGGAGUGUCUCCACUGCUGCAACCAGGCUACUCGCUCUGAGCUCCCUCUCCAUCUCCUUUCCCACCGCCUGUGUUUGAUGCUUUGAGUUUGGCACAGCCCUGCUUGCAAGUUGAACAAACUGAGACAAGCAGAGAGUGGCUUACCCAGAAUUCCAUGGCUAGUUCUCCACAUUUCCUGUUGGAACCAUUACAACACAAGGCUGAGACAAUGAGGCCAAAGCCUCCACUUCACCAUCCCAGGGACAAAAAGAAUCAUCAGACUCUCAGAGUUGCAAGGGAUUUGCAGAGAUCAGCAUCCACAAAAGGUCAUCCAUUCUAUAUUUGAAGAUCAUUGGUCUUAUCAUUUAUAGGAACCCUUUUCAUCGGUCCCUUUCUAUGUUCUUGGUUUCCAUCCUCUUAUGGAAAUGAAUUCUUCACUGGGUUAAUGUCAUUAACUAAUGGAGGAAGUCAAGAUGAAAAUAUCCUGAGAGCCCCAUCUAAUUAUAGGCCCAGGCAUAGACAUUGGAGAAAAUGUGACUUCUUAAUAAAAAGAAAACUGCCUAGAACA